rnacentral:rRNA from 1 species
GAUGAACGCUGACAGAAUGCUUAACACAUGCAAGUCAACUUGAACUUCGGUUUGGGUGGCGGACGGGUGAGUAACGCGUAAAGAACUUGCCUCACAGAUAGGGACAACAUUUGGAAACGAAUGCUAAUACCUGAUAUUAUGAUUUUAGGGCAUCCUAGGAUUAUGAAAGCUAUAUGCGCUGUGAGAGAGCUUUGCGUCCCAUUAGCUAGUUGGAGAGGUAACGGCUCACCAAGGCGAUGAUGGGUAGCCGGCCUGAGAGGGUGAUCGGCCACAAGGGGACUGAGACACGGCCCUUACUCCUACGGGAGGCAGCAGUGGGGAAUAUUGGACAAUGGACCAAGAGUCUGAUCCAGCAAUUCUGUGUGCACGAUGAAGUUUUUCGGAAUGUAAAGUGCUUUCAGUUGGGAAGAAAAAAAUGACGGUACCAACAGAAGAAGUGACGGCUAAAUACGUGCCAGCAGCCGCGGUAAUACGUAUGUCACAAGCGUUAUCCGGAUUUAUUGGGCGUAAAGCGCGUCUAGGUGGUUAUGUAAGUCUGAUGUGAAAAUGCAGGGCUCAACUCUGUAUUGCGUUGGAAACUGUGUAACUAGAGUACUGGAGAGGUAAGCGGAACUACAAGUGUAGAGGUGAAAUUCGUAGAUAUUUGUAGGAAUGCCGAUGGGGAAGCCAGCUCACUGGACAGAUACUGACGCUGAAGCGCGAAAGCGUGGGUAGCAAACAGG